GAGACUCUGUGCGCGUGCAUAUCAAUAAGCGGAGGAAAAGAAACUAACAAGGAUUCCCUAGUAACGGCGAGUGAAGCGGGAAGAGCUCAAAUUUGAAAUCUUAAAGGUUUCCCUUGACGAAUUGUAGUUUAUAGAAGUGUUUUCUGUAGUGGAGUUCGGUAAAAGUUCUUUGGAAUAGGACAUCAUAGAGGGUGAGAAUCCCGUAUUUGACCAUUAUUUCCAACUUUGUGAUACACUUUCAAAGAGUCGGAUUGUUUGGGAAUGCAGUCCAAAAUGGGUGGUAAAUUUCAUCUAAAGCUAAAUACUGGCGAGAGACCGAUAGCGAACAAGUACCGUGAGGGAAAGAUGAAAAGAACUUUGAAAAGAGAGUUAAACAGUACGUGAAAUUGUCAAAAGGGAAGCGUUUGACACCAGUGUUGUUUUCUCGAAAAUCAAUUAAAAAUGGCUUGAUUUUGUGUUGUAUUGACCUUAAAAGCUUUCUUCACUCUUUUCUUGUCUUUUUUAAUGCACUUUUCGUUUAACAAGUCAACAUCAGUUUCUUUUGUUGUAAAAGGUCAUUGGAAGGUAGCUUUCUUUUCGGAGAAAGUGUUUAUAGCCUUUGAUCUCUGCAAUCGGAGAGACUGAGGUCUGCAGCGUAGAUCCUUCGGGGUUAGAUACAUUUGUGCUAAGUUAUAGCUUUUUAUAGACAACUUGUUGACUAUAUUUAGUCUUGUAGCUUACUCGCUUAUGCUAUUUUACCUACGCUUAGGAUGUUGAUCUGUAGUGCGUGCGC
rnacentral:rRNA from 1 species